GAGUCGAUGAUGAGACACCUCUUGCUCCUGAAGAGGGAGUGAUGACUUUAAAAUGAUGCUCAAUAGGGUGCCUUGAAGCCC